GACGAACGCUGGCGGCGUGCUUAACACAUGCAAGUCGAACGGAAAGGCCCUGCUUUUGUGGGGUGCUCGAGUGGCGAACGGGUGAGUAACACGUGAGUAACCUGCCCUUGACUUUGGGAUAACUUCAGGAAACUGGGGCUAAUACCGGAUAGGAGCUCCUGCUGCAUGGUGGGGGUUGGAAAGUUUCGGCGGUUGGGGAUGGACUCGCGGCUUAUCAGCUUGUUGGUGGGGUAGUGGCUUACCAAGGCUUUGACGGGUAGCCGGCCUGAGAGGGUGACCGGGGAAGGAUAGGGAGGGAGAACGCGACGAGAGGCGACAGGGGGCAGGGGAGGGGAGAAGUGCAAGGCGGGAGGAAGCGCGAGGCAGCAGCGCGGGGGGGUGGAUGACGGUCUGCGGGUUGCAAACCGGUUGGGAGGGUGACGAAGAGGGAGAGACGGUAAUGGAUAAAGAAGCACCGGAAAAAUACGUAACAGGAGCGGCGAUAAUAGAAAAGAAGACCACACACACAAA
rnacentral:rRNA from 1 species